UAAUACGUAGGGUGCGAGCGUUAAUCGGAAUUACUGGGCGUAAAGCGUGCGCAGGCGGUUUCGUAAGUCAGAUGUGAAAGCCCCGGGCUCAACCUGGGAACUGCGUUUGAAACUGCGAGGCUAGAGUGUGUCAGAGGGGGGUAGAAUUCCACGUGUAGCAGUGAAAUGCGUAGAGAUGUGGAGGAACACCGAUGGCGAAGGCAGCCCCCUGGGAUAACACUGACGCUCAUGCACGAAAGCGUGGGGAGCAAACAGGAUUAGAUACCCUGGUAGUCCACGCCCUAAACGAUGUCUACUAGUUGUUGGUGGAGUGAAAUCCAUUAGUAACGCAGCUAACGCGUGAAGUAGACCGCCUGGGGAGUACGGUCGCAAGAUUAAAACUCAAAUGAAUUGACGG
rnacentral:rRNA from 1 species